UACGGGUAUAAAUUAAUGGUAAAUUGAUUGCCUUCCAAGCAGUUUUUAUGGGUUCAAGCCCCAUUACCCGUAU
rnacentral:tRNA from 1 species